rnacentral:tRNA from 1 species
GCGGUUGUAGCUCAGUCUGGGAGAGCGCCACCCCGCCACGGUGGAGGUCGCCGGUUCGAACCCGGCCUGCCGCU